UACGGGGGGGGCAAGCGUUGUUCGGAAUUACUGGGCGUAAAGGGCUCGUAGGUGGCCAACUAAGUCAGACGUGAAAUCCCUCGGCUUAACCGGGGAACUGCGUCUGAUACUGGAUGGCUAGAGUUUGGGAGAGGGAUGCGGAAUUCCAGGUGUAGCGGUGAAAUGCGUAGAUAUUCACAGGAACUCCGGUGGCGAAGGCGGCUCGCUGGACCUCUUCUGACGCUGAGGCGCGAAAGCCAGGGGAGCAAACGGG
rnacentral:rRNA from 1 species